rnacentral:piRNA from 1 species
UGAGACUUCUUAAUCUUGGACCAUGCCUUUU